rnacentral:sRNA from 1 species
UACACUACGGAUAUGGGAAAUUUUGCUUCAGUCAUGGCUUCAAGAUUUUGCGCACCCAGCGCACAUGGGCGACGACGAAUGCAUGAGAGGGAGCAGGCCUACUCAAGGGUUUGGGGGGUUGGGCUGGCAGGCUGUAUGUAGCCUUAGAAAAAUAUGAAGAAGAAGAACAACAACAACAAGGGUGUGGUGGCCGUACAGUGAUUGCCAUUGGCUAUCAAUUGGAUUCAGCACUCGCCAGUAUAGCGGUUAGUGGAGAUGGUUUUUGCUCUGAGGACGCGGCGAGAAGUUUCGGACUCGCAAUUUGUCAGGAACAUGGGCAAAUCGCCUUCCUCGAUAAUGUUUUGAUCCGUCAAGGCAAAAUUGACCUCGUCGUAAACCCACCAGUCCGAACUUAAACCAGGAUCGUAAGGACGAGUUCUCAAUUUCUCAUCGGGUAGCAACGCUGCCAUUUAGCCUCUUUAGCCUGUUCAGUCAUGCUUCGUCCACAUCUGGCAGUCACCAAGCUAUUUGCCCUCCGUCCUUGGAUUCUCCAUUAGACCGCUGUACUCCACUCUUCGUUUUCCAGCCUCUUCUCUGCAUACAUCUACAACUUUUCGCGACGGAACCUGUUACAACAACCACAUUUGACGCGAUACUCAUCUUCAUUCGACAGAAGGCACCUUAGCAUAUCCCUCAGUGGGUUCUCCUCACCUACCACCAAAUAUGCGACAGGAUCCAAUCCAAGGCUGGAGAUAUUGUAGAGCGACAACAGUAUAUACACGGUCGCAUAUCUAACGCCGUCGAAUACGAAAGAACGAUAACAUUCAGAGGUGCAUUGACCAGGAUUUCGGACCCAACACGCGUGAUACCCACCGAACCGCCACGCAGAAACAUUACAAAGGAUGAGACACAUGCUGUUCCUGCUGGGCUUGAGGUUGAAGUGAUAGAUGGUUGGGUAACGCUGACCAAGUCCGCCGCGACAUGAAUGAAUAAAGUAUCUGAAGUCCUUCCCUGCGACCGACCCAAAGAGUGACGGACAUAUCUUCGUUCUUUCCCUCGGGAAUCAGUGUGGUCAUACAUUCUGCUGUCGUCUCCCCUAACCUUCUCUCUGUUGCCCACUGAUUGCUGGUCUGCAGUGCGUUGAAAAGCGGGCCCCCCAAAAGGUUUAUAAGGUCGACUGGUGCUUUUGAGAACAUGUAUUGAAUUUCCAACGCAUGUAUUCUGUCAACAGUGCCUUGCGAAAACUGUACUCACUUUACUUACGCCUGCUUCUCUCUGCAUCUCUUGCAACGAGUCCCACCAGCUGUGUUGUUGGCGACUGCUGGCCUUCAGUCUGUUCCAUCCGCCUGAUGCGUUUUACUCGUCGCAACUCAAUACGCUCUGUAUAGCCAGUCUUUAUCGCUUCUGGGUCAUCAGAUUGCAACACACUUUUGAGAAACUCCUUAAACAACUUAUCAUCCUCUGGUUCAAAAUUUCCAUUAAGUAUCCUGUCGACGUCGUCGCCGUAUAGGUAAUUAAAUAGCGAGUAACGAUGCACAAAAUCUGCCACGUUGGCAAUACGGUAGUCGAAAUGAGCCGAAGACAUAUCGUUGAUGUCUCUAACCUUGUAAGCCAGCGCGCAGAAUACCAAUGCAUCACACUUUAGUUUCCGCAGUUCUCCUUGCUUAUUUUCUUUGCGGUCUGUUUUCUCAAAUGCGAACUUCAUGAAAUUUUCCACCCUAACCGCCUGCUACCUAGGGAAGGGUCACAUCAUCCGGUUGUUGUCGUACGGCGUUGGUUGUCGCUUGGAGAACGUUGUGAAUCUCAAGCUGUAUCUGACACACUUUGCAGCACCUCACCCAUCAAGGUCAAGAUCCUUGUGAUGCCAAAGCUUAGAUCCAAUCUGGUCCAGAUUUGACUGGCAUUCUGGGGAAAGUGAAACCAUUCUGGAAUGUGCGCGAUGUACAAAUCAGCAGCUUCCUGCCAGACAAACUGUCCUUUCGAAGCAGAGGGAAGAAAAAAAUUCCUGGUGGACCUUGGUGAGGAAUACAAGGCCCGAGCAACGAAAUUGUCUGGCUGCUACAAAUUGCACCAACGAUCAUGAUUGGUUUACACCGCUUGACGGCUAUCUUUUCGUAAUCGAAGAAACGUCGCCGCUUCAGAUGGGGGCCAGUUUCUUUCCUUAUCUCCUCGUCCGUAGGUUUUGGCAAAAAUUCGCGUGGUAUUGACAAGAUUAACCAUCCCCACAAUAGUUAGGGGUUGAGAAUAUGGUGAAGUCACGGGAUAAAAGCUCUCUAAAGAAAAGAAAACAAAAAAAAGGAAGAAAGGAACUAAAAUAAAAUCUAUCCUGAUCUCAUCAUGCUUUAUCUGGCCAGUAGGUCUUUAUGAUGUCCCUCUUGUUCACCUUCCCCAUUGCGUUCCGCUCGAUGUUAUCCACGAGUUUCAACACGGUAGGCACCUUGUAUGAGGCCAUUUCUUCCCUCAGUCGAAUACGUAGGGGGCUGAGUUCGAGCGCAGGAGUCUGGUCAAUGGAAAGGGAAAAAUUAGUCGGCUUAGCAUCAAUCAUCCAAUACAUGCCCAGCGUGUGAGGAGGGGAGGAAGAUGAGUGAGAAAGUAAGUAAGUAAGAAAGAAAGAAAGAAAGAAAAGAACGUACACCAGACCUCUGCUUAACCACAGCCGCCACCCGCUGACCCCAUUCCUCAUCCGCAAGCCCGACAACCACGACCUCCUGAAUCUCGUCCAAUGCCAGCAUCUUCCUUUCCACUUCUAGCGCCGAGAUCUUGUAGCCACCAGACUUGAUCAGAUCAACUGACGCCCGGCCCUGGAUAUAAUACGCCCCGUUCGAAUCCCGCUUAGCAACAUCGCCCGUCUUAAACCACCCAUCCGCGGUAAACUCCUUCGCAGUAGCUUCCGGUCGUCUCCAAUAUUCCAGAAACACAUUAUCCCCUUUCACCUCAAUCAUGCCCGCCUCCUCCGUCUCCGCCGCAACCAACUGCCCGGUUUCCUUAUUGGUGAGCCGAACCUGCACGCCCGGCAGCGGCCACCCAACGCUGCCGUCAAUUCUCGUCUCGAUAUCGAGCCCACAGCUAAUCCCCAUGCCGAUCUCCGUCAUGCCAUACCGUUCCAGCAGCACCUGGCCCGUAAUCUCCGCGAAUUUCGUCUUGAUGGGCGUGGGCAGGGCCGCCGAGCCACUGACAACCAGACGCAGGGCCUUCGUGCCCCUCCGUGCAUCCGGCUCCAGCUCCGUCGACCGGAUGUGCGCAUCGAAGUAGUCCACGAGCCGCGAGUAGAUGGUCGGCACGGCGAAGAACAUCGUCGACGAGCCCCGAUCGCACCACCGCCUCCAGACCACGGCGGGAUCGAACUUGGGGUGCAUUUCCACUGUCGCGCCGGCGAGGAGCGUGGCCGUGAGCCCGUUGAUGAUCCCAUGCACAUGGUGCAAGGGGAGCACAUGGAUGAGGUGGUCUGCCGGUGUGUAUUCCCAGGCCUUGGCAAGGCACUCCGAUUGGAAUGUUAUGUUCUUGUGGGUUGUGACGCAGCCUUUGGGGUUCGAGGUUGUUCCGGACGUAUAUAUCAUCAAUGCGCGCCUGGAUUGGGGGAGGGAAGCGUGGAACGGUGGUAAGGGCACUAGAGAUUUUGUGCUGGCGACGAGAGGGAUUAGAUCAAAAAAGGGAAUAUCGGGACAAGCUUCUCGAAUGGCGGUUUUCAUAUGGCUGAAUGAGGGAUGGAGGAUGAUCAACGAAGGAUCCGAAUCGGUAAUGGUAUAUAUGAUUUCUUUCGUCGGAUGGGUGGUGCCUGUUAUGAUUAAACCGGUUAGCUUUUCCAACGAGUAAGAAGUAAAAAGUAAAAAAAAAAAACAAAAAACAACAAUUGAAUAUCUCCUACACAAUGGCACGCAUACUCCGCCGGUAGCCCAUACAGCCCACUGACAAACAACAUAGUCGUAUCCCGCGGGUGUCAAAAACGCAAUGCGUCGCUCCUCCAAAUCCC